GUAAUCAGAAUAUGGUUAUCAGGUUAUAUGCUUCAGCAAAUUAUAAAUCAUGUAUGCACAUUCACUGACUGUACACUAAAAAUUUCUAACACUGAUUUGAUAAUGUGGUUGUUUGGAUCUUCUCAUGGGAAAUUUUAAAAGUUAUUCAGUAAAUUAAAAUGAGCAUUUGCUUUGUUCUCCUAAUCUGGAGAUUUUAUGAGCUUUUCAGUGAUCAGUUGGGAUCAUUUUCCCAAUAGCACCGAGUUAGAUCUUGUUUGGGGUGACCUCUCCUGACCUCCUCCCAGGUUCCCGGUCUGGAGCGGGAGGGGCGGAAGCCGGCGAGGCCAACCUCCCCUUCACACGCAGGAGAGCAAGUCCCUCAAGUUCAUGAGGAAUCCGCUCUCAACUUGUUAACACAGGGGUGCUCAACAGGAGAAGCACUCAAUAGGAGAAGCAGGAGCAGCCGAGCGUUCGCCUGGUUGCAGGUCGACUUCAGGUCCCUUCUCUUCUUACUGAUUUAUUCCUCCCCUUCUCUUCCAGUCCCCUACUCACAGAGCUUCUCAUUUUGUUUUUCUAGAUUUGGUUUCUCUAUGUCUACAGGUUGUUUGAUGAAAAUCCAAAAAGGCUGACAUGGGAGAAUUAAUCUAUGCAAGUCAUGUGAUUUUAUUUUUCUAUAAUUUAGUUCCAGUCAAAGAUAACAAGUUGAGUAGUCCCAUUAAUUUUUUGCAAUUUAGGGCAUUGAAGGAGAUCAGAAUGCUUUUAUUUGUAUUUACAUCAUGUUCUUUAUUAUAGAACAACCACAGUGGAGAAAAUUAUCUCAUAUCUUUUGGAUGAUUUGGUUUAAUUGGCUAUUACGCAUGUUGGAAUGAAUUAGCAAGUACAGAAAUGAAUAACUGCAGCUCCUUCCCGAUUAGGUCGGGUUAAAUGCUUCCCAAAUACAAAUGGUCUCAGGAAAAAGGCAAAUAUGCAAUAAUUUUGUGUUUUUUCAAAGUAAGUAGAGUGGGUUACUACUAAACCAGAGGACGGGUAGUCAUUGCUUACUUAUGUAAAUAGAGAUCCAAUUGUCUCUUAUUAUGUGUAGGCAUAAAGUUGGAUCUUGGAUGCUUGGCAACGCCUUUCUAUGUUGUUUUCCUAUUUAUUUUAUUUAUUGUGCUUCCCUUUUUUGGACUACAAUGUUCUGGGAGGUGAGGAAAUGAGAUUGAACUACGUGUUUUCUUUUCAGGUAUACUUGAAGUUAACGAGUUUCCAAUUCCUUGUUGUUGUUAAUAAUAUGAAAGUGCAACCGUGGUUUUUGCUCCCAGCUGAUGCAUACUGCUUUGCUUGCAGCUAUCAUCAGCCAUUGUUGCUGGUACUGUCCCUUUUUGAGAACCAAAGAAAUAUUGAUUUUCAGCUCAGAUGUGUGUGUUAGGUGAUGUUGCAUGCCAUUUUUGUUCAUCGGCCUGGCAUGAUUUGGAUUGGAUCACCUGCGGAGGCAGGUUUCAUCACCUCGGACGGAGGGAGUAUAUGAUGUAAUUGGCCACUAUCACUAAGAAGUGCUCCUGGACACAAUGCUCUAUA